rnacentral:ncRNA from 1 species
UGGUUCUUUUGAUCGUACAGUUUACUUGGAUAACUGUGGUAAUUCUAGAGCUAAUACAUGCGAGAAGCGCCGACCUCGCGGGAGGCGUGCAUUUAUCAGACCAAAAACCGGCCGCGUCUUCGGGCGCGUUCGCCUUGGUGACUCUGGAUAACUUUGCGGAUCGCACGGUCUAGCACCGGCGACGGAUCAUUCAAGUGUCUGCCCUAUCAACUUUCGUCGGUACGGUAUUUGCCUACCGAGGUUCUUACGGGUGACGGGGAAUCAGGGUUCGAUUCCGGAGAGGGAGCCUGAGAAACGGCUACCACAUCCAAGGAAGGCAGCAGGCGCGCAAAUUACCCAUUCCCGACGCGGGGAGGUAGUGACGAAAAAUAACAAUGCAGGACUCGUUCGAGGCCCUGUAAUUGGAAUGAGUACACUUUAAAAGCUUUAACGAGUAUCCAUUGGAGGGCAAGUCUGGUGCCAGCAGCCGCGGUAAUUCCAGCUCCAAAAGUAUAUAUUUAAGUUGUUGCGGUUAAAAAGCUCGUAGUUGGAUUUUGGGCGCAGGCGGCCGGUCCGUCGCAAGGCGUGUACUGGACGUCCUGGCCUUCCCUCCGGUUCUCCGCCGGUGCUCUUGACUGAGUGUCGGCGGCGGCCGGAACGUUUACUUUGACAAAAUUAGAGUGUUCAAAGCAGGCUCUCCAGCCUGGAUAAUGGUGCAUGGAAUAAUGGAAUAGGACCUCGGUUCUAUUUUGUUGGUUUUCGGAGCGCGAGGUAAUGAUUAAGAGGGACAGACGGGGGCAUUCGUACUGUGCCGUUAGAGGUGAAAUUCUUGGAUCGGCGCAAGACGAACGACUGCGAAAGCAUUUGCCAAGAAUGUUUUCUUUAAUCAAGAGCGAAAGUCAGAGGUUCGAAGACGAUCAGAUACCGUCCUAGUUCUGACUAUAAACGAUGCCAACUAGCGAUCGGGGGGCGUUACAUUGACGACCCCUCCGGCAGCUUACGGGAAACCAAAGUCUUUGGGUUCCGGGGGAAGUAUGGUUGCAAAGCUGAAACUUAAAGGAAUUGACGGAAGGGCACCACCAGGAGUGGAGCCUGCGGCUUAAUUUGACUCAACACGGGAAAUCUCACCCGGCCCGGACACAGUGAGGAUUGACAGAUUGAGAGCUCUUUCUUGAUUCUGUGGGUGGUGGUGCAUGGCCGUUCUUAGUUGGUGGAGCGAUUUGUCUGGUUAAUUCCGAUAACGAACGAGACUCUGGCUUGCUAAAUAGUUACGCGACCAUCCCGGUCGGCGUUUAACUUCUUAGAGGGACAAGUGGCGUUUAGCCACACGAGAUUGAGCAAUAACAGGUCUGUGAUGCC